AUAAUCGUCCGUCGCAAGCGAGUGGCCGAACCAACGCACGAUAUACGGUGACCCGGCGGGGUGAAAGCCAAUGACUCGCAAGGGUGAUAUGUCGGCGAGUAGCGCUAAGCAGGCUGCGUAAGCGAACGGGUAGCAUUUUCAAGACAUCGCAAUGAGCGCAUUUCAAGUAAUUGCGCCUCACGGCAGAUGACAGCGCUCGACCGGUUGUGACCCGAGUACACAUGCACCCGCACAUAACCGUCCAUGCCCGCUGCACGUCCGACGUACAGUACCUUCACAGUACACAUGCACGUUCUGAAACAGAUACAUAUCGUGUGCCUUCUCAGCGCCUCCCACACAAAACUGUUUUGAAACUGGCGCCCGCAGGCUUUGACUUGAACUAAACGCAGAGCUGAGAACUUAACACGAGGUCAAUUGAUAAAUGUUUAUUGCGCGCAUACCUUCUAAUAUGCGGUGGCUAGCAAAUUUUAAAGACAGGCCAUUGAGACAGGCGCAUGUAAGCAAGAUUUUUUUUUUCUGCGUGGGUGACUUAUGCAAGCCAAAGCAAUCCACCUUGUAGCGACUUGCCAUCCUGAGACCGCAGGUACAGUCUGUGCAGUGUCCCGCGAGGCCCGCAACCUGCAGCGGUGGAGUGUCUUUCGUAGACCAUCGUGAGUUUUUACGUUUCGAAGACAGAGUGCCGCCAGCACAAAGGAAUGGACAAGGCAGAUCGCGUUGGCUGUAGGCACUGCAGUGCAUGCUGGUGCGUGGAAAUGCUGCAGCCAACCUGACACAACAGCGGCUUCCCCGUGUUUGUGCACAGAGGACAGAACCUAUGACUUGGCCCAAGGGUUCUUCAUCAAUCUACCACUGACGAUGUCAACUACAAGCGCGCGGUUCUUCCCACCUUCCUUCUGCAAUGUGGAAUACUUUGAUCGACUGACUUUGGAGGAGCACAGCACAGCAAACUGGCGUGUUUAACCACUGUCACCACUCUGGUUAGAUCAGUUUUCCUGUAUAUUAAGGUAAGUGCUGGUACUGGCUG
rnacentral:lncRNA from 1 species